GCCAGGUGCAGUGGUGCAUGCCUGCAGUCCCAGCUACUCGGGAGGCUGAGGUGGGAGGAUUGCUUGAGCCCAAAAGUUCUGGGCUGUAGUGCGCUGUGCCAAUUGGAUGUCCACACUAAGUUCGGCAUCAAUAUGGUGACCUCCCGGGAGCGGGGGACCACCAGGUUGCCUAAGGAGGGGUGAACCAGCCCAGGUCAGAAACAGACAGGUCAAAACUCCCGUGCUGAUUAGUAGUGGGAUUGCGCCUAUGAAUAGCCACUGCACUCUAGCCCGGGCAACAUAGCAAGACCCUGCCUCU
rnacentral:SRP_RNA from 1 species